rnacentral:rRNA from 1 species
UACGUAGGAUGCAAGCGUUGUCCGGAUUUACUGGGCGUAAAGCGCGCGCAGGCGGCACACCAAGUACCCUAUGAAAAUCUCCUUGCUCAACGGGGAGGGUGUUGGGUAGACUGGUGAGCUAGAGGGACGGUAGAGGGGGGUAGAAGUUGACUGGUGUAGCGGUGAAAUGCGUAGAGAUCAAGCAGGAAUACCCCGUGGCGAAGGCGGCCCCCUGG